rnacentral:rRNA from 1 species
UACGUAGGCAGCGAGCGUUGUUCGGAGUUACUGGGCGUAAAGAGUGCGUAGGCGGUUUUCUAAGUUUGGUGUGAAAUCUCCCGGCUCAACUGGGAGGGUGCGCCGAAGACUGGAAGGCUUGAGUAUGGGAGAGGUAAGCGGAAUUCCUGGUGUAGCGGUGAAAUGCGUAGAUAUCAGGAGGAACACCUGCGGUGUAGACGGCUUACUGGACCAUAACUGACGCUGAGGCACGAAAGCGUGGGCAGCAAACAGG